CUUGCUGGAAGACAGGCAGGUCCCGGCAGUCACCAGCAGAGAUUUUUCCUGAGGGAAACCCCUCGGCUGCAGGCCAUUCUCAGGGCUGAGGGAGGCGGGGUUGGAGGUGUGCAGCCACCAGGAUGAUUUUGGAAAGUUUUCUGGGGCUCAAGACACCUGACGACAAUUCUUGGUGGCAGGAGCACCUGGAGUGGGACUCAGAUCCCCGACGUCCCAUCCGGAAGGAGCCCUUCACACACCUGUCCCGUUCCCGAGCCUGAGGACCCAGGUAUCUCCAGGUGAGGAUGCAGAGCUGGCCUUGGCCGCUCUCCAGCCAGGCCGCUUCUGACACCGGUGGUGUUUUCCCGGCGGUGCGGAUGGACAGCCCUUGCUCUCUGGUGGGCAAGGUCAGAUGGUCCUGAAGUGCAGACAGCUUUCUGUCGCCUCCCCCGACCCCCACCCCCGCCCCUGGGAGUGGCCCCGGCAGAAAGCACAGGUGCCUUAGGGUCCCCUAAGCGUGGAUUCAGUUCCCAGCUUGGCUCUCAUCACAAGUCAGUUAGCUUUUCUAAGCCCUAUUCCUCAUCUGAAAAGAAAAAGGAAAAAGAAAAAAAAGAGGGUGUGAAUACCCUUCCCCGGCUCCUGUGAGGACCUGCUGGGAAAAGAUGUCUGAACCACAGGUCUAGAUGGAGCGAGGGUUCAGUCCUGAAUCUCACCUCCCAGGCCUUUGAAAGGUGCCCCCCUCCACCAGCCUUCCUUAUUUUUCUCCUCCUUGAGUGUAGCUGCUUUGGGGCCUGCAAACUCUUCUGUCUCCCUUUGAAGCAAUCUUGCCGAGUCUAACAGUCUGAUGCCCUUUAUGGAAUAUUCCUACCUGCCCAGCCCAGGUAGAGUCGUGGCUCCCAUCUUUGCGGCCCAGGGACCUGGCAUUUUCUGUCCUGCUAAUAUUCUUAGGCUUCUUCUUCUUCUUCUUUUUUUGGCUGUUCUAAGGGCAUGUGGAAAUUCCUGGACCAGGGAUCGAACCGUGUCUCAGCAGUGACCAUGCUGGAUUUUCAACCCACCAGGAAACUCUCAGUGUAGGCAUUAACUACGAAGCAGCUCAAUGGGACUAAAAAAAUUCGUUAGCACACGAAAUAGAUAUUUGGAUCUUCUGAUGCUCAUGAGUGUAGUUCAGCAUCUUAAGGUAUUGUUACCAGAAGAAUUCUUGUAAAUGGCCACCCUUCGCCACCCGUCUUUAUGGGACCACUCACAGCAUUGCCGCUGUGGGGAUGCACCAACCUUCCAUGUCUGUAGGAAUCACAGGCACUGGGUCUCUGACAUCAGGGGCCAUUGUUGCAGCUUAGCAGAACACACCCUCAUAUGCACCGGUCAUUAAAAGGUCAUUUCCUGUCUCUUGUUUUUCCUGAUAUCACUGCGAUGUGAUUUGUGACAACAAAACAAGCUUUUUUUCUGCUAGCUCGGAAUUUAGAUAAAACCCCAGAGUUGAGGACAAAAGGUGACCUCGCAUUCUAAAGAGAAGUGCAAGCUCCAUCCAUGGAAGGCAGGGAGACCUGUGCAGUGACCUAGUGAUUGAUGGGGCGGGGCUUUGGCGCUGGGAGGUCAAGGGAGGUGGGCUCAGAGAUAACACUCCAUGGAGACUGGUGGGGGGGGGAAAGAGUGUGUGAGAAAAAGAGAGAGGACCUGGUCCCGCUCUCCACCUGGACGGAUGCUUGUGAAGCUCCAGAUGGAAGCUGCCAGACGGGGAGCCCCAGAGACCCUGACGCAUGUCCCAGGAUGCAGGGACAACGUCGGGCAAAGGCAGACACAGUUAGAAGGGGGAGGACAGGCUGAAGCGGUGAGGAGCGGGGAAGGUGUUGGGCAAACUGCACAAGGACAGCAAGGACAGGCGGGUUCACUGCGGGGCCUUAGCAGGAUUUCAGGGGCCACUCAAGAGAGCCACCUGGUAGGCUUGCGGAACCCGGGAGAAAGCGGCUGCCGGACUGUCCCGGACAGGAGCUGCAGGACACAACCGGUUGCAGGAACAUCUGCGAGCAUCUCUACAGGACCAGUUCAAGGGUCAGUGUUUGGAUGCCUGGGAGGCAGCGACACACCUGCGGCAUCAGUUAAGUAUGCAGACAUGGGCCCUUCUGUCCGUCUUCCUUCCUCUUGGCUGCUGACUCUGGAGGGUCCAGAAGCAGCCGAGAGAGUGAGGGGGCUUAGCCUGGACAGGAUAAGAACUCACUGGUUCCAUUUUCUUACUGGUGGUUCCCAGGUCGGGGGUUGGCCGGGGGUGCUGGUUCUGGCUGAUUGGCUUGGUGUGGGGUGGGAGGUUAAAUACUCCUCUGGGACCGUAAUUAUUCCUGAAAGUGACGUUAAAGCUCGAGGUUCUAUCUGAGGUAUCACUCAGGGGUGGAGAAGGCAGAGAUGACAGACUGUGUCUGAGGCAGGCUAUUUUGUAAUUUCACCUUACCGAAUUUAGCCGCUCAGUGGAGUAAUUACCCCAAAAGAGGGUGAUCAGAAAAGCAUCCUCCCAGAGUGAUUCUGCUGUGUGCUUCCAGUUUUAGACUCUGAGAUAUUCAAUCUUUAGGGUAUUGUUGUUCUAGCUUGCAUCAUUUUGCAAAGCAUGUUUUUUUUGUUUAUUUGUUUUUUGUUUUUGGUCUUUUUAGAGCCACACUUGCAGCCUACGGAAAUUCCCAGGCUAGGGGUUGAAUCCAAGCUGCAGCUGCUGGCCUCCGCCACAGCCUCAGCAACACCAGAUCGGAGCCACAUUUGCAACCUACACCACAGGUCAUGGCAAGGCCAGAUCCUUAACCCACUGAGCGAGGCCAGGAAUCAAACCUGCAUCCUCCGGGAUACUAGUUGGGUUCAUUACCUCUGAGUCACAAUGGGAACUCCACAAAGUAUGUAUUUUUCACAUCUUUCUGAACCAUGGCUUGGGUGCUCAUGGCUGCUGUGGGCUGCAUGAGGCACUGGGAAUGCCACUCGGAAGAGGAAAGCAGCAUUUCCCAUGCCAGUGAGCUCAGGCCAGUGUGAGAGAUGUACAAUCCAGUGGUGGUGGGAGCCCCCGGAUGCCUCUAGGGGCAGAACGCUUUUGAGUCACAGAAGAAUUUGGGAUCCUGAAGCAAGGGGUUGGGCGGGGGGGUGGGGGCCCUCCCUGGGAGAGUAGAUUCCUGAGCUGAUUCCUCUUCAACAAGGAGGAAUAUCAAGGAAAAGAGCAGAGCACAUGCCUAGACCAGAGGGGCAAAGGCCAAGAAGGUUUUGGAGAAUGUGCCUUCUGGCUGGAAGGGGAAGUGUGAGGGGAAAGCAAUGAGAGGGAGCAGGAAGGAUGGACUGUGGCAGACGCCCUGCCUUCCUUUAAAUCUUGCGCAAUAUUCCCUUCCUGUGAAGGCAGGUUAGCCCCUUCUACUAUAGGCAGAAAUACAAAGGUGCUCGGUGUGGUCAGAAAGAACACACUGGCAACAGCUUGGAGAACAAAGGGUGUGGGCUGGGGAGGGGGACAGGGAUGCUGAUUCUAGACGUGGGGAAAUAAGACGGGCUGCAAGUGCAUGAAUCCGGAACUGAGAGUGGGUCUGAGCCAAGGAGCUGGUCAUGGGCAUGAAACAGGGGUGGUUCAGAAGCGGCCAUCACUCAUCAUCCCAUUCGCAGAGGGGGAAGGGGCUUGCAGAGACAGUAGGGAAACUCACCUGUGGUUCUCAAAUUAAAUUAGAUUAUUUCAUGCUUAUUCCUGUGGUCUUUGGAGAGGAGGAGGUGGAGAGGAGGAGUGGAGAGAAGGGACUGAAGAGUCAGAAAAGAAUAGACCUGAAAGGAAAACUAAAAUAAAAUUUGGAGUUCCCGCUGUGGCACAACGGAUCAGCAGCAUCUCUGCAGCAUCAAAGACACAGGUUCAACUUCUGGCCUGACACAGUGGGUUAAAGGAUCCAGGGUUCACACAACUGUGGCUCCAAUCUGAUCCCUGGCCUGGGAACUCCAUAUGCGGGGUGGCCAAAAAAAAAAGCUGGGGAGUUCCCAUUGUGGUCAACAGGUAAGAACCUGAUGUAGUCUCCAUGAGGCUGUAGGUUUGAUCCCUGGCCUCGCUUGGUGGGUUAAGGAUCCGGUGUUGCCAUGGCUGUGGCGCAGGACUGCAGCUGCAGCUCUGAUUUGACCCCUAGCCUGGGAACUUCCGUAUGCUGCAGGUGCAGC
rnacentral:lncRNA from 1 species